rnacentral:rRNA from 1 species
AUUGAACGCUGGCGGCAGGCCUAACACAUGCAAGUCGAACGGUAACAGGAAGAAGCUUGCUUCUUUGCUGACGAGUGGCGGACGGGUGAGUAAUGUCUGGGAAACUGCCUGAUGGAGGGGGAUAACUACUGGAAACGGUAGCUAAUACCGCAUAACGUCGCAAGACCAAAGAGGGGGACCUUCGGGCCUCUUGCCAUCGGAUGUGCCCAGAUGGGAUUAGCUAGUAGGUGGGGUAACGGCUCACCUAGGCGACGAUCCGUAGCUGGUCUGAGAGGAUGACCAGCCACACGGGAACUGAGACACGGUCCAGACUCCUACGGGAGGCAGCAGUGGGGAAUAUUGCACAAUGGGCGCAAGCCUGAUGCAGCCAUGCCGCGUGUAUGAAGAAGGCCUUCGGGUUGUAAAGUACUUUCAGCGGGGAGGAAGGGAGUAAAGUUAAUACCUUUGCUGAUUGACGUUACCCGCAGAAGAAGCACCGGCUAACUCCGUG